rnacentral:rRNA from 1 species
GACGAACGCUGGCGGCGUGCUUAACACAUGCAAGUCGAACGGAAAGGCCCUGCUUUUGUGGGGUGCUCGAGUGGCGAACGGGUGAGUAACACGUGAGUAACCUGCCCUUGACUUUGGGAUAACUUCAGGAAACUGGGGCUAAUACCGGAUAGGAGCUCCUGCUGCAUGGUGGGGGUUGGAAAGUUUCGGCGGUUGGGGAUGGACUCGCGGCUUAUCAGCUUGUUGGUGGGGUAGUGGCUUACCAAGGCUUUGACGGGUAGCCGGCCUGAGAGGGUGACCGGCCACACGGGAACGGAGACACGGGCAAGAGUCGUACGGGAGGCAGCAGUAGGGAAUCGGCCGGAAUGGGCGAAAGCCUGACGGAGCAACGCGGCGGGAGUGAUGAAGGUCUUCGGAUCGUAAAACUCUGGUAUUAGGGAAGAACAAAUGUGGAAGUAACUAGGCACGUCCUGACGGUACCUAAUCAGAAAGACACGGCUAACGACGUG